rnacentral:tRNA from 1 species
UUAGGGAGACCUCCCACUCUUAAUUGAAAGUGUCAAGUGAGUAGACUGAGAGCUGGUCAACCCAAGGUCGGUCAGGAUUUUAGUGUGGGCUUUCAAGCUAAUCUAGGUUUUGUGGAAAUGGGCUAUUAGCUCAGGUGGUUAGAGCGCACCCCUGAUAAGGGUGAGGUCCCUGGUUCGAGUCCAGGAUGGCCCACCUAGGGGGUUUAGCUCAGUUGGUAGAGCGCCUGCUUUGCAAGCAGGAUGUCAGCAGUUCGAGUCUGCUAACCUCCACUGGUCGAAAAGCCUAAAGGGAGAUGGAGUGGACAGCACCUUGCCUAGAGUUUCUAGGGAGACUGCUGGGAAUGCUUCCAGCGAGGACCUUGAAAACUGCAUAGCGAGAAGUCAGGUAGAAGCAGUGUCUUGAAUUGAACACUGAUUUACAGACACCAAUGAAAAUUUUUAGU